AUCCAGCUGACGAGUCCCAAAUAGGACGAAACGCGCGUCGUGAAU
rnacentral:hammerhead_ribozyme from 1 species